GGGUGUGGCUCAGUGGUAGAUUGCUUGCCUAGCCUGCAUGAGGCACUGGGUUUGAUCCCUGGCACCACA
rnacentral:tRNA from 1 species